GGAUGUAAGAACAGUCUGGCUGUUGCUCCGUUGAGUGCCAGAGUUGAUUGGGCUGAUCUGGCUGGUUAGGCGGGUGUCCCCUUCCUCCCUCACCACUCCACGUUCAUCUCUCCUGAAGCCCUGUGCUUGGUUCAAGAGGAUGACCUUGUCCCUAGUCCAGGAUAUAUGAGUAGCUGCGUUCCUCUGCUAGAACCUCCAAAUAAGCUCUCAAGGGCAGGAGAAUAUCUUAUUUUCAUUU
ensembl:misc_RNA 7SK 7SK RNA